UCACUGAAGAUAUCUUGAGUGCGUGUGACACAGUCACUCAGAAGUGACUUGUAAUUUGCAGUGAAAGUGUGGCAUCCACAUACUUUGGUGCUUCAGGAUGUUGAGAGUUAGAAUAUGCUUUACUGCCCAUUGCAGCACUUUCCACACAGGAUGGAAACACAUCUGAUUGCUAACAGCUGCCGGGGGUGCAGCGUACUAUCGUAGCCAAAGCUCUGAACAGCAACUCUCUCAAAGCCAAAAGCUGCUGCCAUCUUGUUUCACUAUAUGCACGCACCUGUGCAUGUGCGCAUGCACACACACACACACACACACACAUAUCUUCCCAACACACAAAUGCACACUGCAUAUACCACAUGCAAUAUUGUGCCUAUUUACCACACACACAACACAGGUGCACCCCUGCCACACACAUACCCCUACACAUAAAUGCAUCUAGCUGUAAGUCUCAUUACCCCAUGCUGGGCAGCGCUGCCAGGGACAUGAACUGGGCACCAAGAACCCACUAAAACAGUUCACCUUAUAAUAUUAACUUCACUCCAGAUUAAACUCCAGCUUCCCUGAGUGUAAAUGUGUGAUAAACGUGGAAAUUAUUUUUAGAAGAGAAGAAGGUAAAGUAUCGAGUUUUAAAUUCAUAAACUCUACAGCCUGAGGUUGAGUCUUUGUCCCACUCCUUCCUAGCUCUGCGAACCUGAGCACUUCAUUAAGUCCAUAUGUGUUCCCUCAUGUAUAAAGAAUUCCUCUGUCAUUAUCAUGGUAUAUAGAGGCGAAGGGUCCUGCACACAGCAAGUGCUCUAGGCCGUCAUUUCUUUCUACGUGUAGCAGCUUUAUUGGGAUGGCAUGGAUCUAACCCAAGAAAUAACCAUCAACAGGCACAAAAAGCAUCAAAAGAAACCAACGCUUCUUUCUAGAGCGAGGCCACAGCAGAGAUGGCAUCCUGGAGAAGAGCUGAGAGAAGAGGAAGUGGGGAGAGGCCCCACACACCAGCACACUGUGGUCAAGUUGGGGAAAGACUGAUCUGCAGGGUAGGAGGCACUCACAGGUCCCUGUGACCCGAGAACCACGGAGCAGACACUUGGGCUAGAGAGUGAUCGUCUUUCCCCCAGGACUCUACUUCGGUCUUUAGCUCCACAGCUUUGGACUAGACAAGCAGCUGGAUUAUAAAGUGAGCCAUCUUAUCUCCCUAACCACAGGGAUGUCUUUCUGUGGUGAAAGACUAACAGGCAUCACCAAUGAGGGAAAGGGGCAGUGGGAGAGUGUAUGUAGAAAGAAUGUGACCAAUUUCAUUGUGUUUUGGCUUAGAAAGGGAAUACUUGGAGAUGUUCACUUCAAGUCUUGCAAAGAACUAGAACAUUGUUUCUAUAUAACCAGGCCCUCUUGUCUUACCUGUUUUCUCCUUUUAUAUAUAUGUGCAUUUCUUUUUCUUUUUUCUUUUUCUUUCUUUUUUUUUAAUUUUUAAUUUUUUUUUUUAUUUUGACAGGGUUUCUCUGUGUAGCCCUGGCUGUUCUGGAACUAACUCUGUAAACCAGGCUGGCCUUGAAAUCAGAAAUCUGCCUGCCUCUGCCUCCCAAGUGCUAGGAUUAAAGGCGUGCGCCACCAAUGCCUGGCAUAUGUGCAUUUCUAUGUGCAGGGCAGAGGACAACCUUGACUGUUAUUCCUCAGGGACACUUUUUUGUCUAUUUGUUUUGUUUUGAGACAGGGUCUCUCUGUGGCCUGGAAAUUAACAAAGAGGCUAGGCUUAGCUGGCCAGAGAACCAUAGGGAUCCUCCUGUUAUCUGCCACUUUUACAUUGGGAUUAAAAGGAAAAUGUCACCAUGCCUGCCUUUUUAAAAUGUGAAUUCUGGGAAUCAAGUUUAGGUUCUCUGGCUUCUAAGGGCAGAACUAUCUCCCUAGCCUUCUCUUGCCUUGUUUAUAAAAUACUUACUGCUAUCAGUUAGUCCUUUAAUACCACCUCCUGCUAUGGUAGGAGACACGGGGCAAAUGCAAAGCUAAGGCAGUGUUGAUGG
rnacentral:lncRNA from 1 species